rnacentral:lncRNA from 1 species
UUCCUAGUUGCUUACGCAACUACAAAGAAUAGAAAGAAUAUUGAAUAAAGAAUGUAUGAGAAUAAGAAAAUACUUAAUAACUUUAUGUUAGACUGUAGACUCAAAAUAUAAAAGAACACCUAAAAAGAAAAGAAUUAGUAAAGGAUUCAAUACAUAAAAGAUGUUAGUGAUCCUUGUUACCACUUCAUGAUAACAAUUCCAAGGGUGGAAAGAGUUAGUAAAAGAAGAUCAAGAAAAGACACUUAUCUUAGGAGACUUAAUAGUAUGGUUUUAGUAAGCCAUCAAGAAAAGAUACCUAUCUUAGGAGACUUAACACAAGAGGAUCUGAAACUUCAGGUUUGAGAUGAAUACCCAACUUAGGUGCCAAGGGUAUUCAUCUCUAUGGUCUUUACUGCCUGCGUCUAUAGCGGCUCUCUCUGACUUUCGUCGACAACGGCAUGCCCUGAAGCAGUCCUACACCCGAGGGUACAUCCGAGUCUCCAUCAUCAAACCAUCCGUCAGUUAUACAACCCUUAUGCUCCUCAGAUCAAGCUUAGGUAAUCUUGAUCGAUGCCCCUAUUGCUCAUCAAUCUCUAUUCUUACUAAAAUACCAGCUUCUCUCUCUCUAAACCAAGCCUAGAUUUUCUGAUACUGCUCUUCAGAUCAAGCCUAAGUAAUUUUGUUUGAUGCACCUACUGCUCAUCAAACCUUGAUCUUUCUAAACUACUUCUCUCUUCUUGGGUUCUGUUAUCAACCUAUGGUAGAGAAAAGGAUCUGACUCAAUAAAAAAUUAAAACUUAUGAUUCAUACUACAUCUCCCUCCCUGGGCUCUGAAUGAACCAUUAGGGAAAAAGGAUCUCCCUCCCCAGGCUCUGAUACCAUGGUAUCAGAGCCUUUUUCCCUAACAGUUCAUUCAGAGCCUGGGGAGGGAGAUGUAGUAUGAGUCAUAAGUUUUAAUUUUUUAUUGAGUCAGAUUCUUUUCUCUACCAUAAGUUGAUAACAGAACCCAAAAAGAGAGAAGUAGUUUAGAAAGACAAAGUUUGAUGAGCAGUAGGGGUAUCAAACAAGAUUACUUAAGCUUGGUUUGAGGAGUAGUAUCAGAAAACCUAGGCUUGGUCUAGAGAGAG